UACGUAGGGGGCGAGCGUUGUCCGGAUUUAUUGGGCGUAAAGAGCUCGUAGGCGGCUUGGCAAGUCGGGUGUGAAACCUCCAGGCUCAACCUGGAGACGCCACCCGAUACUGCCAUGGCUAGAGUCCGGUAGGGGACCACGGAAUUCCUGGUGUAGCGGUGAAAUGCGCAGAUAUCAGGAGGAACACCGGUGGCGAAGGCGGUGGUCUGGCCCGAUACUGACGCUGAGGCGCGAAAGCGUGGGGAGCAAACAGG
rnacentral:rRNA from 1 species